rnacentral:ncRNA from 1 species
CUACGGACUUAAGCAAUUGAGCCUUACUAGAGAAAUCCGGUAAGUGACCGCUCUCAAACUCAGGGAAACCUAAAUCUGAUUACAGACAAGGCAAUCCUGAGCCAAGCCUAAAGUCAGGCAAAAAGCAAAAGGUAAACUAAACAAUGUUGCCUUCUACUUUUUACCUAAAUUUAGGAAGGUGCAGAGACUCGACGGGAGCUACCCUAACGUCAAGGCGAGGGUAAAGAGAGAGUCCAAUUCUCAAAG